AAAAACAUUUCUUUAAGGGUAUUAAAGUAGGGCCUGCUCACUCGUUAGGAAUAAAGAGCCGCGGUAUUUUGACUGUGCUAAGGUAGCAUAAUGAUUUGUUCUUUAAAUGGGAUCUGGGAUGAAUGGUUUAACAAAACAAAAGCUUUUUUUUACUAAAUUUUUGAAUUUAGCAUUGAAGUGAAAAGACUUUAAUUUCCUAAAAAGAAGAGAAGACCCCUAGAGUUUUAUUUAGCUAGUCUAGCCUAGAGGGGGUGUAACAUUUGUGGUUGGCUUAAAAAAUUUGGCUGGGGCGGCCUCUAAGUAUGAUUAACCUUAGAUAAUUGAAAUUUUUGAGGAUUAAUGACCCACUUUAAUAUGUGCAUCAGAAGUAAA
rnacentral:rRNA from 1 species